UUUGACCUAAUUCUUGAUUGCUUGCUCUUGAGGCAACUGGGAACAAUGCAAUGCUAUGCAAUGAACCAUGACAUGUUAUGACCUAAUAUGAAAAUGUAUGCAUAAUGAUAGGUGCAAAUUUGAGGUGCUACAGCUACCUUGUGAAACAAUAUCAACAUGGCCUAUAAAAGCAUAAAUCCGGAUUCAGAAUAAAACACGCAAAAUCCGAAAAUCUUCUAAAUAAUUCCAGACGCUCUUUGCUGCAUUCGGGUUUUCGCUGGUCUUGCGCAAACUCGAUAAGGCUGAAUUAUCCUGGGUAUUCCUGCAUCAGAACUCUAAGACAUUCGAGAGUGCUUGAAAUACUAUAAGGAAAAGUAUUGCGUUCACGAUUCAAGUUUGGAUCCCUUUAAUCUUUUCGAAAUUUCUAACCGUUCCUAUUAUUAAAACUUUAAUUUACAACGUUAACAAAGAAUUCCGAAAACAAACAAAUCUAAUGAUAUAUGAUGAAGUUCCUAUGGCACACUAAUUUGUAAGAUACAUGUCAUAUUACCUUAUAGUUUGUUAAAUUCGGAAGUUUAAAAGUUUUAGUAGCAUCUUCCACAACAUAGAUAAAAGUAUACACUUAUAAUUAACUAAUAAUAUUUUUUAACUUAAUUGUUAAUCUGAUACACGCACUCACAAGUAAAGAAUAUAUUAAUCAUAUUAAUGCACUCUACUUUUAAAGGAUGGGGACACAUAUUUUCUGGACAGUCAGCAUCUUCUUUGCAUUGUUUACGAGCUGCAAUGUCAAAUAAAAAUAAAUUAUUGUCAUUAAUAGGUAAUAAUCUAGUUUGUAUAUGAUAUUGAAGAAAGUUUAAAAUUGGUGUGAAGAAAUCACUCACUGCUGUGUGUUAUAACAAGAAAUAGAGAAAGAAAUAUUAUCAAAGCAUACAAAGACUUGGAAAUUUGAACCAUAUUUUUCCUCUGUAUGUAAAAAAUUGAAAUUUGUAUGAUCACUUUAUAGGUCAAAUUUAAAUGGUUUGUUAACUACAAUUAAUAGAUCUUAGCACUAGAGUUACAAGAAGUGAUAAUCAUAAUUUUAAAAUCUUUGUUAAGUGUCUCUAAGAUAUCUCAUUGUGCCACAUUUAUCUCUUAAGCUCAAUGAGUUGAUCACUUAAACAUUAGUAAAGAGCUG
rnacentral:lncRNA from 1 species